CGGACGGGUGAGUAAUGUCUGGGAAACUGCCCGAUGGAGGGGGAUAACUACUGGAAACGGUAGCUAAUACCGCAUAACGUCGCAAGACCAAAGAGGGGGACCUUAGGGCCUCUUGCCAUCGGAUGUGCCCAGAUGGGAUUAGCUAGUAGGUGGGGUAAUGGCUCACCUAGGCGACGAUCCCUAGCUGGUCUGAGAGGAUGACCAGCCACACUGGAACUGAAACACGGUCCAG
rnacentral:rRNA from 1 species